AGUUUAUAGCUUGCGAAGAAAUUGCUUUGCAAAUGAAUCACUAGGCUAGGAUGGGACAACAGACAAACAAAAUUCUAUUGGUGAUAUGAUAGCAAAUGAUGUUCUGUAUAACUAUUUCUCUCAAUCCAUUUGUUAAAUGCAUUGAUGCUUCUGCCAUCUCAAUUAUAAAGCAUCACCUGCAUAAACUGAAAGACUGCUGGUCCCUUAAAAAUUACUCUCCCAUGCGCAGCAGGGUGGUAUUAGAGCCAGUAGUUAGUGGCUAGGAGAGGGGCUAAGG
rnacentral:misc_RNA from 1 species